AUGGGGCCUGGAAGAGGAGGCAGUCUUCCUUUCUUUCAGCUGGGUGCUUCUCUUGAGUCAGACCUACCCACGGCAGAGAUGUUUUCCGUGAGGGACCUCUGCCUGGUCCUGAGUUUGGUGGGUGCAAUUCAGGGUGAAAAAUGCCCUUCUGGCUGCAGGAUGAAAGGACUGAUUGAUGAAGUCAAUCAAGAUUUUACAGGCAGAAUAAAUAAACUAAGAGAUUCACUAUUUAAUUAUCAGAAGACCAAUAAGGACUCUAAUACAUUGACCAAGAACAUAGUGGAAAUUUUGAGAGGGGAUUUUGCCAAAGCUAACAACAAUGAUAAUACAUUUAACCAAGUAUCAGAAGAUCUGAGAAGCAGAAUUGAGAUCCUAAGGCGCAAAGUCAUAGAGCAAGCACAACAUAUCAACCUUCUGCAGAAAAAUGUCAAGAAUCAACUGGUAGAUAUGAAACGAUUGGAGGUGGACAUUGAUAUUAAGAUCCGAUCUUGCAAAGGGUCAUGCAGUAGAGCUUUAGAACAUAAGGUAGAUCUGGAGGACUAUAAAAAUCAGCAGAAGCAACUUGAACAGGUUAUUGCCAUAAACUUACUUCCCUCUAGAGACACUCAAUACUUAUCACUGAUAAAAAUGAGUGCAGUUACAGGCCCUGUACCCAGAGAGUUAAAGAGCCAGCUUCGAGAGGCCCCUCCAGAAUGGAAGGCACUGCUGGAAAUGCAGCAGAUGAAAAUGGUGUUGGAAAAUUUCGGUGGCGAUGGACAUGCCAGAGGAGACUCUGUAUCUCACAGAACAGGAUUAGCACCAGAAAGUCCCAGGAAGCCUGGAACCGGUAGUAUAGGAAAUGUGAACCCUGGGAGCUACGGACCUGGAAGUAGUGGCACUUGGAGCCCCGGCCACCCCGAGCCCGGAAGUGCUGGCACCUGGAACACCGGCCGCCCCGAGCCCGGAAGUGCUGGCACCUGGAACACCGGCCGCCCCGAGCCCGGAAGUGCUGGCACCUGGAACACCGGCCGCCCCGAGCCCGGAAGUGCUGGCACCUGGAACACCGGCCGCCCCGAGCCCGGAAGUGCUGGCACCUGGAACAUCGGCAGCCCCGAGCCCGGAAGUGUUGGCAUUCGGAAUACUGGAAGCUCUGGAUCUUCAAGUUUUAGGCCAGAUAGCUCAGGUCAUGGGGGGAACAUUAGGCCUUCCAGUCCAGACUGGGGCACCUUUAGAGAGGAAGGAAGUGUAAGCUCAGGGACAAAGAAAGAGUUCCACACAGGUAAACUUGUCAGUGCUAAAGGAGAAAAAGAGCUUCUCAUCGGUAAUGAGAAGGUCAGCUCUGGUCACGCAACUACCACUCGUCGUUCAUGCUCUAAAGUCAUUACAAAGACUGUCACAAAUGCCGAAGGUCACACAGAAACGACCAAAGAAGUGGUCAAGUCUGAAGAUGGUUCUGACUGUGGUGACGCAGACUUUGACUGGGACCAUACUUUUUCUACGAGGGGUAACCUAGAGGAUUUCUUUCAUAGAAACAGUGAUGGUUUCUUCACCCAUAAGUUACACGAGUUUGACGACUGUUAUGAUGUCCUCCAAACACAUCCUUCAGGUGCCCAAAGUGGCAUUUUCAGUAUCAAGCUACCAGGAUCCAGUAAAAUUUUUUCUGUUUAUUGCGAUCAAGAGACCGGUUUGGGAGGAUGGCUUUUGAUCCAGCAAAGAAUGGAUGGAUCACUGAAUUUUAACCGAACCUGGCAAGACUACAAGAGAGGUUUCGGCAGCCUAAAUGACAAGGGAGAAGGAGAAUUCUGGCUAGGCAAUGAAUACCUCCACUUACUAACCCUGAGGGGCUCCAUCCUUAGGGUUGAAUUAGAAGACUGGGCUGGGAAAGGGGCUUAUGCAGAAUAUCACUUGAGAGUAGGCUCUGAGGCAGAGGACUAUGCCCUGGAGGUCUCCUCUUACAAGGGCACAGCAGGUGAUGCGCUGAUUGAGGGUUCUGUGGAGGAAGGGACAGAGUACACUUCUCACACUGGCAUGCGGUUCAGCACCUUCGACAGGGAUGCAGACAAGUGGGAAGACAACUGCGCUGAAGUCUACGGAGGAGGCUGGUGGUACAACAACUGCCAGGCAGCCAAUCUCAAUGGCAUCUACUAUCCUGGCGGCUCCUAUGACCCCAGGGACAACAGUCCCUAUGAGAUUGAGAAUGGUGUGGUCUGGGUCCCCUUCAGAGGUGCAGAUUAUUCUCUCAGGGCUGUUCGUAUGAAAAUCCGGCCCCUUGUGACACAAUAG
rnacentral:lncRNA from 1 species